CAUGUAGGCGGCGCUGUAAGUCAGUGGUGAAAUCCCUCGGCUCAACCGAGGAACUGCCAUUGAAACUGUAGUGCUAGAGUGCGGGAGGGGCAGACGGAAUUCCAGGUGGAGCGGUGAAAUGCGUAGAUAUCUGGAGGAACGCCAGGGGCGAAAGCGGUCUGCUGGCCCGCAACUGACGCUGAGGUGCGAAAGCUAGGGGAGCAAACAGGAUUAGAUACCCUGGUAGUCC
rnacentral:rRNA from 1 species